rnacentral:rRNA from 1 species
GCCAGACUCCUACGGGAGGCAGCAGUGGGGGAUAUUGCACAAUGGGGGAAACCCUGAUGCAGCGACGCCGCGUGGGUGAAGAAGCGCCUCGGCGCGUAAAGCCCUGUCAGCAGGGAAGAAAAUGACGGUACCUGAAGAAGAAGCCCCGGCUAACUACGUGCCAGCAGCCGCGGCAAUACGUAGGGGGCAAGCGUUAUCCGGAUUUACUGGGUGUAAAGGGAGCGUAGACGGCGAUGCAAGUCUGAAGUGAAAGCCCGGGGCCCAACCCCGGGACUGCAUUGGAAACUGCCGGGCUGGAGUGCCGGAGGGGCGGGCGGAAUUCCUGGUGUAGCGGUGAAAUGCGCAGAUAUCAGGAAGAACACCGGUGGCGCAGGCGGCCUGCUGGACGGCAACUGACGCUGAGGCUCGAAAGCGUGGGGAGCAAACAGGAUUAGAUACCCGCGUAAU